UUGCAAUCUGUCUACAUACGCUAAAUAAUAACUUAUAUUAAUGACAAAUCUACUUGACCUACUAUUCACAUAACACAUAUAUAUAUAUAUUAUACAGUUAAAAUUAAUAAAAAUGCUUGACACGUACACUGGCUUCUUACACGAGUGACAAUCUUUGCAAAAAUGAAACAGCUAUAUUUGACAGUCACGCACAUUGUUCAAACGUGGUAUGAAGGCCAGAUGAAGGACGCCUUCGGGUGCGGGAGUUUCUCACUUAAUUGAAGACCUAUCGGUGACCUUCUGUUAUUGUCUGUUCUAUGGUCGGGUUGUGGUCUCUUUUACACAUUCCCCAUUCUCAUUCUCAAUUUUACUAAACAGUUUGAUCUAGUGACAAAGUCACCGUUCACACUGUCUACAUACAAGAAUUAAAAACGUAAUAUAAUGACUAAAGCUACAUGACUCAUUGUCGUCACACAUGUAAUAAAUUCCUUAACACAAGCCUCGGUCACACCUUAUCGGAUAGCUCGAACGGACGCCUAACGGAUAACUUUGUUUCAAUCCGUUCAUGUCCGUUA
rnacentral:lncRNA from 1 species